rnacentral:rRNA from 1 species
CCUACGGUGUGCAGCAGUGGGGAAUAUUGGACAAUGGGCGAAAGCCUGAUCCAGCCAUGCCGCGUGUGUGAAGAAGGCCUUCGGGUUGUAAAGCACUUUCAGUGGGGAAGAAAGCCUUGGGGCUAAUACCCUCGAGGAAGGACAUCACCCACAGAAGAAGCACCGGCUAACUCCGUGCCAGCAGCCGCGGUAAUACGGAGGGUGCGAGCGUUAAUCGGAAUUACUGGGCGUAAAGCGCGCGUAGGCGGUCUGAUAAGCCGGUUGUGAAAGCCCCGGGCUCAACCUGGGAACGGCAUCCGGAACUGUCAGGCUAGAGUGCAGGAGAGGAAGGUAGAAUUCCCGGGGUAGCGGUGAAAUGCGUAGAGAUCGGGAGGAAUACCAGUGGCGAAGGCGGCCUUCUGGACUGACACUGACGCUGAGGUGCGAAAGCGUGGGUAGCAAACAGGAUUAGAUACCCGAGUAGUC